rnacentral:rRNA from 1 species
UACGAAGGGGGCUAGCGUUGCUCGGAAUCACUGGGCGUAAAGGGCGCGUAGGCGGCCUUCUAAGUCAGACGUGAAAUCCCCCGGCUUAACCUGGGAACUGCGUCUGAUACUGGGAGGCUAGAGUGCGGGAGAGGGAUGCGGAAUUCCAGGUGUAGCGGUGAAAUGCGUAGAUAUCUGGAGGAACACCGGUGGCGAAGGCGGCAUCCUGGACCGACACUGACGCUGAGGCGCGAAAGCUAGGGUAGCAAACGGG